UACGAAGGGGGCUAGCGUUGCUCGGAAUUACUGGGCGUAAAGGGCGCGUAGGCGGCCUGUUAAGUCGGAUGUGAAAUCCCCAGGCUUAACCUGGGAACUGCAUCCGAUACUGGAUGGCUUGAAUCCGGGAGAGGGAUGCAGAAUUCCAGGUGUAGCGGUGAAAUGCGUAGAUAUCUGGAGGAAUACCGGUGGCGAAGGCGGCAUCCUGGACCGGCAUUGACGCUGAGGAGCGAAAGCUAGGGGAGCAAACGGG
rnacentral:rRNA from 1 species